CUAGUGGGAGGUCUGUUUUCAUCAGCUGUCUUCCCAACCAGAGGUACCUACGACAGAAAUACAUAGACAAAUCCCUCUUCAAACUGACUAAACCUUUUGGAAAACUGACUGGCUAUUCUCUGAACAGGUAUCAAGGAACGUGUUACAUGCAACUGGAAAGUACAAAGGCAGCUGAAAAAAUGGUUGCACAGUACAGUCGGAGGCCUUGCAAAUUUUGGGGGUCGGUGCUGAAGAUAGCUAUGUGCAGGAAAGGGGAUUCUCUGAUUCGCUGGAGAUACCCUGAAAAUGCAGAGGAAAGAAAGUCAAAAAAGGAAACAAAAGAAAUUAAACCAAGCACUGAAAGG